rnacentral:rRNA from 1 species
GACGAACGCUGGCGGCGUGCUUAACACAUGCAAGUCGAACGGAAAGGCCCUGCUUUUGUGGGGUGCUCGAGUGGCGCGCGGGUGAGUAACACGUGAGUAACCUGCCCUUGACUUUGGGGUAACUUCAGGAAACUGGGGCUAAUACCGGAUAGGAGAUCCUGCUGCGUGUUGGUGGUUGGAGAGUUUCGGCGGUUGGGGAUGGACUCGCGGCUUAUCCGCUUGUUGGUGUGGUAGUGGAUUUCCAAGGCUUUGACGGGUAGCCGGCCUGAGAGGGUGACCGGCCACAUUGGGACUGAGAGACGGCGCAGACUCCUACGUGAGGCAGCAGGGGGGAGUAUUGCACAAUGGGCGGAAGCCUGAUGCAGCAACGCUGCGUGCGGGAUGACGGCCUUCGGGUGGUAAACCGCUGUCGCCUGUGACGAAGCGUGAGUGACGGUAAUGGGUAAAGAAGCACCGGCUAACUACGUG